GGUCUGUGAUGCCUUAGAUGUCCUGGGCUGCACGCGCGCUACACUGAUGCGUUCAUCGAGUUUAUCCUUGGCCGAGAGGUCUGGGUAAUCUUUAGUACGCAUCGUGAUGGGGAUCGAUUAUUGCAAUUAUUAAUCGUGAACGAGGAAUGCCUAGUAUGCGCAAGUCAUCAGCUUGUGCAGAUUACGUCCCUGCCCUUUGUACAC
rnacentral:rRNA from 1 species